AACAAGAAAGCUUUAAACUUGAGAAGAAGGAAAGCUUUAAGAAAUCAGAUUUUUUUUUUUUUUAAGUUUCUAACUCUCCUAAGACUAUUUUAUAAGAGGACAAAGGCGGUUUAGAAGUAUUGGAUUAGGAAAAGGAAAUCUCAUUUGUUUAGAAGUAUUGGAUUAGGAAAAGGAAAUCUCAUUUGUCAAAGGGCUAUAUUAUAAAUAUACCAUGUAUUAGUAACUCCUAAUAAAGAAAAAAAAUGUAAUCCCCUAAAUGCCCUCGCUGGAAAAUUCCGAAUUAUGAUUCCGCUGAACGCGCCCCCACUCCCGCGGAGGGGCG
rnacentral:lncRNA from 1 species